rnacentral:rRNA from 1 species
UACGUAGGGAGCAAGCGUUGUUCGGAUUUACUGGGCGUAAAGGGCGCGUAGGCGGCGCGGUAAGUCACUUGUGAAAUCUCUGAGCUUAACUCAGAACGGCCAAGUGAUACUGCAGUGCUAGAGUGCAGAAGGGGCAAUCGGAAUUCUUGGUGUAGCGGUGAAAUGCGUAGAUAUCAAGAGGAACACCUGAGGUGAAGACGGGUUGCUAGGCUGACACUGACGCUGAGGCGCGAAAGCCAGGGGAGCGAACGGG